CGCGUAGGCGGCCUGGUAAGUCUGGAGUGAAAGUCCUGCUUUUAAGGUGGGAAUUGCUUUGGAUACUGCUGGGCUUGAGUGCAGGAGAGGUAAGUGGAAUUCCCGGUGUAGCGGUGAAAUGCGUAGAGAUCGGGAGGAACACCAGUGGCGAAGGCGACUUACUGGACUGUAACUGACGCUGAGGCGCGAAAGUGUGGGGAAGCAAACA
rnacentral:rRNA from 1 species